rnacentral:rRNA from 1 species
AUGCAGCACGCCGCGUGAGGGAUGACGGCCUUCGGGUUGUAAACCUCUUUUGUCAGGGAAGAAGCGAGAGUGACGGUACCUGCGCAAACGCGCCGGCUAACUACGUGCCAGCAGCCGCGGUAAUACGUAGGGCGCAAGCGUUAUCCGGAAUUAUUGUGCGUAAAGAGCUCGUAGGCGGUUUGUCGCGUCUGCUGUGAAAUCCCGAGGCUCAACCUCGGGCCUGCAGUGGGUACGGGCAGACUAGAGUGCGGUAGGGGAGAUUGGAAUUCCUGGUGUAGCGGUGGAAUGCGCAGAUAUCAGGAGGAACACCGAUGGCGAAGGCAGAUCUCUGGGCCGUAACUGACGCUGAGGAGCGAAAGGGUGGGGAGCAAACAGGCUUAUAUACCCUGGGAGUCCACCCCGUAAACGUUGGGAACUAGUUGUGGGGACCAUUCCACGGUUUCCGUGACGCAGCUAACGCAUUAAGUUCCCCGCCUGGGGAGUACGGCCGCAAGGCUAAAACUCAAAGGAAUUGACGGAG